GAUCAUGGCUCAGGAUGAACGCUGGCGGCGUGCUUAACACAUGCAAGUCGAACGGAACUCCUAUGAACGAGGUUUCGGCCAAGUGAAUAGGAUGUUUAGUGGCGGACGGGUGAGUAACGCGUGAGUAACCUGCCUUGGAGUGGGGAAUAACACAGUGAAAAUUGUGCUAAUACCGCAUAAUGCAUUUGGAUUGCAUGAUUCUGAAUGCCAAAGAUUUAUCGCU
rnacentral:rRNA from 1 species